GGAUCAAUAUGUUGGUCGUGCCUCUGGUACGUACUGGUAUUAUUGGUUUCUCCCUUCUGACGAACCAUGAUGUCAUUUAUUUGGUGUUUUGGGGAAUUUGGACUGUUACUUUGAAAAAAUUAGAGUGUUUAAAGCAGGCUCACGCUUGAAUACAUUAGCAUGGAAUAAUGAAAUAGGACGUUUGAUUCUAUUUUGUUGGUUUCUAGGAUUGACGUA
rnacentral:rRNA from 1 species